rnacentral:rRNA from 1 species
AACGAACGCUGGCGGCAGGCCUAACACAUGCAAGUCGAGCGAGGUAGCAAUACCUAGCGGCGGACGGGUUAGUAACGCGUGGGAACGUGCCCAAAGGUACGGAAUAGCCUCGGGAAACUGAGAGUAAUACCGUAUGUGCCCUUCGGGGGAAAGAUUUAUCGCCUUUGGAUCGGCCCGCGUUGGAUUAGGUAGUUGGUGGGGUAAUGGCCUACCAAGCCGACGAUCCAUAGCUGGUUUGAGAGGAUGAUCAGCAACACUGGGACUGAGACACGGCCCAGACUCCUACGGGAGGCAGCAGUGGGGAAUCUUAGACAAUGGGGGAAACCCUGAUCUAGCCAUGCCGCGUGAGCGAUGAAGGCCUUAGGGCUGUAAAGCUCUUUCAGCUGGGAAGAUAAUGACGGUACCAGCAGAAGAAGCCCCGGCUAACUCCGUG